rnacentral:misc_RNA from 1 species
CCGAGUUUACAACUCCCAAACCCCUAUGAACAUACCUAUACGUUGCCUCGGCGGAUCAGCCCGCGCCCCGUAAAAAGGGACGGCCCGCCCGAGGACCCCUAAACUCUGUUUUUAGUGGAACUUCUGAGUAAAACAAACAAAUAAAUCA